CCCAGUGGGGGCAAGUGCCCCCUUAUGGCUCUUACUAAACGCAUAUGAUUUUACUAUAUAUACAUAGACAUAUACACGUUCUUUCAUACUUUCAAUUUUCAACUUUCAAGUACAUAGUAAGAUGAAGGCUUUCACUUAUGUUCUGAUCAGUCUCCUUGUUUUUUCCAUUGGCAUAGGGAAUGAAAGGCUAAUGAAAGUAACAGAGUCUGUCUCAAACCAUUGUACACAAACACUCAACAGUGAAAUAUGUGUAGCAGAUCACCAGUGCGAUGAUAUUUGCAAAAACCAUUUUGGAAGGCUAGCAAGUGGGUUUUGCAUUAAUAGCAAAUGUAUGUGUCAGUACCCACCUCCAUGUCACAAUUUGUAGUCCUAUGUUUGCAACAUUUUCCCUUUGAAAAAAUGUUUCAAUAAUGGAAAAUAAAAAGCUUAAAAUAUAUAAAUAAAUGAUGUUUCUAUGAA